ACCUCCCAAAUUAUCCUCUACCCAUAAGAUAUCCCAUGUUUUUUUUUCCAGCCCUUCGGUCCCCACAGGUUUUUCCUUCUUCCACUGAAUCUCCACAGGCCUUAGGCUUGAUUCCCACCCCACUAGGCUCUACCCAUUCCUUCUUAUUUACCUGACCUCAUGUUGGAGUACAGGACAGAUGGCACUGGGCUACAUGGCUGCUUCCUGGAAGUGGCAUCAUUAUUAGCACACCUGCAAUUCUGCAGUCCUAUGCAGAAUUGCAUGCAAGCAGCAAAACAAAGCAAUUCAUUCCUAGCUAAUGCAGUAUCCUUGUGAAAGCGGUCAUUUUGAUAUGCUUAUCGUGGCUUUGCAGAAGCAACUGACAUUUGGAAAUGCCUGCAAGGAAUUGUGGGUGCACUGAAAAUGAUGGCCACUUCUGGGAGGCAGUCACGUGGUCCAGCAACGUGUGCCCUGACCUUCCCAAUAUGAGGUCGAGAGAUCUUCAAGAAGCACAAGUGAAGAUUCCAAGAGUUUCAUAUUAAACUUGUUCAGAGAUCCAGAUUCAAAGGGCAUAAUGUGAUUCAGAGCGUUCAGGAAAACCUUCAAACAGUUGCUUCUUCUCAGUUCUCACAGCUGCCUCCACAGCUAAUACAAUCUCCUGCAAGAGAUGCAUUUGGUUUAAGGUGUUCCCAACAGAUGGCCACACCAAACAGAACUACUAUCUUGUUGGCUAUUAGUGAAACUAAUUCUUGAUGACGUUUGGGAAGAGCAGUUUUUGUCAUUCUUUAAUGGAAACUUAUGUUACCAUCUCCACUUGACAAAUGGAGCUUAGAGGAGAGGAUUGACAGGUUAUCUGCUCAAGUUGAAUCUGAAAUUGACAAUAUAUGCAAGCACUCUGUGCUGCUUGUGGUUGCAGUUUGGAAUGCCAAAGUUAGAAAUAUUCAGGAGAACAACCUAGCUGGAAAAGCAUGAUGUAACAAAUCGAAAUGGAGUAAGAGAAUGCUGAACAACGGUUCUGAAAUUAUUCAGCUUGAGCUCUCUGGCAACGAUACUGGGCAAUAAGUCUAUCAGCUUGAGAAAGAGCUAAUGCCUUUGCUUCCAAAAGGUCCUGCAACCUAGUUUCCUUGGACUAAAAAGAAAAUUAUUGCAAAAUGAACUGCACAUUCAGAGCAUACACAUGAAUAAAAGUCUUACUAAAUAUA